UUGGGGAUUUUAUGUGUGUGUGCGUGAACUUAACCUACUGUUACAAACCUUGAGUUUUAAUUGGCGAGCAUAAAAACUCAGUAUCUCUGCAGCUUUUUGUCUGCUGACCCAUCACAUGCACUGACCAUGAAGCUGUAGAAGCUGUACAACAAUGACCCCGGGGGGCAAGGAAGUGGAGCGGGGACAAAAGCAGAGAGAGAGCAAAAGAGUAAAAAAGAGAGAGAAAGAGAGAGAGAAAGAGAGAGAGAGGGACCGCUUCUUUAUUUGUGUAACUACAUAAAGAGUCACUAACAGGAAUAUUGAGUUUACCGUGAAGUAAUUUCAGCAGAUAUUAAACCGUUUCUUAACUAUCUAAAUGGUUUAUUUUUAUAUUCUAUUUAGGUCAGUGCAGAGUUUUAAUACAGUAUUUUGGUGAGUAAGAAUCUUUAUUAAAUCCAGUUUCUAAUACUGUAAAAAUGUACUUUAUUUUGAAAGGAACUCUACUUCCAUAGAUUGUUAGUCACUGAAUAUAAACAGCUAAAGGUCGACGGUUUAGAAAGAAUAAAUGUUCUCGUCAUCAGUGACCCUGAAACUACUGAACUGACAAUUCCCAGACAUUGUCAGGUUGGGGUGCCUGUGUGAAAACAAACAGCUGAUCUGGUCACCUGGACUUAAAAGUCAUAAGUGACCCUGAAGAGGCUCAGAUUAGUCUUUAAGGUGUCUGACCGUCUUUUGAAGGGCUGUUACAGCGAGUCUGCUAGCAGCUGUUCCUGCUUCUUCAUAAUUCUUCCCUUUGUUUUAGAGCGUAAAGACGCCUCUCCUGAACCACACUAUGACUGCAUGCUUACUUCAAACAAUAUAUCUAUAUCUGCUUUUUUAAUUAUUAUUUUUUCUGUAAAAUAAGUUGUGGGUAGAUUUCUGUCAAGUUGUAAAAAGCAAAUAAAAGGUAGAAACCAACCACUGAGGCUGCAAAAAUGUCACUAAUGAUUAGCGGUUGGAAUCACUAGUGGGCCAACGAUAAGAUAUUAUCACCAUACUUGGGCCACGAUUGAAUAUUGUGAUUUUUAACAAUUUAGCAACACAGUGAGUAUUGCGAUGCAAUAUAUUGAGAAUAUAUUUAUACAUUUUUUUCAACUGUUUAGCUAAUUUAUCAUUUGUCUUUCCUUUAUGUUUGUCUUCUUUACUCUGUAUUUUAUUUUCAUGUAGUACAUCUUGCAAACCUUACAUAUAUAUUUGUUGUACGAACUUUCUCCUGCUCUUCGAUGUCGCCUCUGCCAACCUCACUGGACAGUUGAUUUUAUUUUUCAAUAUCGUGAUACUAUACUGUAUCGAUUUCUUCUCCCAGCACUAUUAACGAUGCUGUUGUGAAAUUUACAGUAAGUUACCGUUUUAAAAAGCUCCUCGGCCUCACUGUUGUACACUCUGUGCAGACUCACAGGUUUUCAAGCUGUGAGAGUGUGUCUGACAAAGAUAAUGUCCCAAAAACUGUCAGGAUCGAAAUGUCUGGAAAAUUGUCAGGAGACAGAAUAAAUAAAGUCAAAGAUGUGAUGAGGGAGUUUUGCAGCGAUGCAUCUCUGUUGCUGCUGAACUGAAAGACCUUCAACAUGGCUGCCAGAGGCUGCAUUACAUAACCCAACAGCCCUUUGUAAUAUAUCACAUUAUUAUCAUAUUCAAACAAGUGGAUCAUUAUUUCCACUAAAUGUCAUGAGUCAUUACCAUGUGAAUUCACUGGUGGGAGCGAAGAGUUCAGCACAUCGUUGCAUAAUACAACUGGUGUACUUUUCUGUGACAAAAAGAGCAACGAGAUCUCGAACAGGACUGGAGAAGAAGACCCACUGAAGUCCAGAACCUUUUGACAUUAUAGAAAGCAGCUACUUCAUCACUUCAUUAAUUCAGCGUGGAUAAAAGCAGCACGGGUCUUUAAGACGCUCUGCAGAGAAUCGCUGUUUGAAGACGAACAAAAGAAAGAGGCGAGUUCAGUCAGUUCAGGCGGCCUUCUCUGUGUUCCUGACAAUAAGCUCUCCAAUCUCCUUUUUGUCAGAACAUCAGCGCGUCCUUCUCUUCCUUUGACAAAGAUCUGAUAGUACAGUCAGUGUGUACUCUGCAGGACGUUGCUUACAGACACAGCGAGCCCUUCACUUACACAACUCAGACGGUAAAUCAGCCCAGCGCCCAUUAUUAGAGAAACUCCACUCGCUCAGAUCACUGCAAGGAUAAUGAGGGAAGAAACUGAGAGGCUGCAGAUCCUCCAGAGGAUGAAUUUGAUGUAUUUUUGCAACUCAAGAUAACCAAGACCUCUCGUAAACAGCUGAGGCAAAACCUAUGUGUGGGGAAUUUAAGGUAAUGGAUAGAGCAUCACACAUCCUGCAAUGAGACCAGAGUUGCAAACAGUAUAUUAAACAGCUUUGAUGUAAAAUUAUGGUUCUAUGUGAAAGACUGAAAUAGAAAUGCGUAACAAUGCAUGAAAAUUUACUUAAGUAGGUGUUCUUAUAAAGGAAUGCAACAUGACAGAGUGUCCUCUGGGUACUGUUGUCGUAUUCAAGACAUUAAAGUGCUUUUUAGAAGCUCUUUCAUUAUUUAAAAUAUAGUAAAAACAUCCUUUAGAUGCUCUUUUAGUACAUGAGUUUUUAAACAGUGUCCUUCAUUUGCUCUUUCAAAAGAUAAAAAGUUAAAAUUGCCCUCAAGAUGCCUUCCUAGCAUUAUGCAACUUAAAACACUUCCCUUUGGGUGAUUUUUCUGUAUUCAAAUUAUAUAAAAGUGCUUUUGAAAUGUCCUCUUCGUACAUAAAAUAUGAAAAAAGUUUUCUUUAGAUACUCUUCCAGAAUAUAAUCUGUCAGAAUCGCCUCUUGGAUAAGAUGUAAAACGUGUCCUCUGGAUACCAAACCACUGGAUAAAAUCUAAUUAACCCUGCUGUAUGUUUGGCUAACAAGGUCUUAUAGUUAAGUUUGAUUCUCCGUUACGUCUUUUAUAUCAACUCUCAGUGAUAAAAAUAAGUUUAUCAUUUCAUUUAAAUUACUGAUUUAAACUAUUCCAUGGUUUUAAAAAAUGCAACUUAAUCAUGUCGUGAGAAUUUUGUAUUUUUCCUUUAAUGUAAUUAAAUUUCCUCUACAGCAGCUCCUGUUAUGAGUCUUUAAAAUACUGUCAGACACAAAUCUUUAUUAAUCACACCUUUUUGUUAGCUGGUGGCCGAUGGCAUGCAGGAGGUGCCCCUUAUCAUUACAUUUACCCCUGUCCCUCAAACAACCUGAGUACGCCACUGAAAGGAAUUACUGAAUUUUCUAUCUUUGUGUUUACUUUAUUUUAUUCUCAGCCCUGGGAGACAAUAUUUGGUCUCAACAACAACUAAAAACUUGAUGCAGAAAAAUGGAAAAUGAUGUCCUCAAGAGUGGUAUUGUCCUGCUGUCUUUAAAGCUACCAGACCCUGAAUAUAUCAGUCUACUAAAUAGACAUGAAAGUAGUAAGAGGGUCAAUAAAAUACUCUAUUCUUAAACUGUUGUGGAAAAAGCUCCAGUUUGCAAAAGACUCUACUGAGCGCCAGAGAAAGUUUAGUCCAGAGACAGACAGACCCGAGACAGCCACAGAUACUAUAAGUAAUGAUAAUUUCAGCAAAUCAAAUCAACCCUGUUUGUAAGAUUUAUGUUCUUUUCCAGCUUUGAGAUUAAAAAAAGAAGAAGUUGUAUGAAUAAUGAAUGGAGUUGUAAACCUUUUUCUCUUGUCAGAUAAAUGGCCCGGCCGCCAAAGCUACAAUUUAAAACGAAUGUAGAUUAUAGAGCUGUAAUUGGUCUAUUCAAGAAAAUGUCGGCUUUGCACCUUUGCCUUAACUGUCUCAUUGUGUGAAGUGCCACUGUGACCCACGGUGGAUAACAGAGCCGCAGAAGAAGAAGAAGAAGAAGAAAAACACGAUUCUUUUAAGCUCCCUUAAGUUACAGCCAGGAGGGAUUAAGUUUCUGCAAAUGAGAGCAAAGAAAAGAACACAUGCUCUUUUCUUUCAGCGAGGAACAUUGUCCUCAAAUAUGAGUUUCUUUUUCUACGAUAACAGACGGCCUGAAUACGCUCACCCAGAGGAGGAUGUGAUUCCACACACCGAUCAGCCAGCUCUGCUCGCCCGCCUUCAAUCACUGUCCGACUCUGCGGCCUCAUUGUCCACGCAUCACGAAGCAUGACUUCGCAUCAGUAUGCAUGACCGAGCACAUUUACAAAUACACACUGUAGAUCCAAAAUAGGUGGAGAGCUCACUUUUUAAACUCUAUCAUCCAUCCUGUCAGAGACUUUUCCAGGUUUAUGUGUUUGGCACCUUGAUAAAAAAGAGAGUUUACAAAGUGUUUUGAUGUACAAGCAAAAAUAAACACGAGAACACAUCAACAAAUAAAAACACAAACGAGUGCAGACAACAAAAUAAACACCAAAUUACAGAAACACUAAUAUCUAUCGCCUCUUCUUGAAUCACUGACUCGCUCUAAGACUGAGAUCAUUCAACUCCAAACCUUCAAAUCCCACUCAGUUCUGGUGUUCCACAGGGUUCUGUCCUGGGGCCUCCUCUGUUUAUCAUCUACCUUCUUCUUUUUGACUUUAUAUUCUACAAAUCUAACAUCUGUGUCUGUUGCUAUACCGAUGACACCCAACUCUACCUGACCACCAACCCUACUCCAUCACUCUUGCCCUCUUCAUCCCUCUGAUUGGUUCUGUGAUUUAGAGUCCCACUACAAUCGUUUUUUUACCACUUGAAGUUUUCUCAGUGGUCUUUAAAUUGUGAUUAUUAAGUUUUUACCAAAAAUCGCGUUACCUGUGUCAUUUUCAACAGCUUUUCUUCUGCUGAGCUUCAGUAGAUCAUUAGCAAUUUGUCUCUGAGUCGUGGGCGGAGACAACGCUGCUCCGCACUCUCCUCUUCACGCUAACUUGCAGCCUAGUAUUACUAGCAUAGUAGAAGAAGCAGGAAACAUAGGAGCCAUUCAGCUCUCAAACACUAAUGUCUUUGGGGACAUGAUGAAAGUUAAUGUCAUAAUUAGCUUACUUGUGAGCAAAGCAAUCCGCUAACACACACGCUUGUUCCGCCAAUCGUCCUCUCUACUUUUCUGACUGCGGCCUGUAUAGCAGGGGGCGGAGCUUGGAUUUGUGAUGUAGGAAAUCUGAUCCUGCUCCUAAAAACAGUUUUUUUCUUAUUUUCUUUCUCCUCUGAGGUUAAGAUUCUUGGUGCCUCAGCAAACUAUCAUUACAAACCAACAUCAAUCAUGUUGUUUCUGCUCUUUAUCAGUCAAAUAUAAGAGUUUAACAAAAGAGUCUGUGUGAUAAUCUUACACAUACAGUUCAUUCACAUCAGAGGUUGGCUUUACUGGAAUGAAAACGCUCCGUUUAAACGCCCCCGUCGAGUUCAAACUGAAUUAAAUGUCAUCGUGUUGCAGAGAGACAGUUUGAACCUUUUCAUGAACUGUUAAAAAUACGAGUCGACAGUCAUUCUGAUGGAGUUGUGUUCACACUCAUCUAUAUUUCUGUACAGUAACUCUUCGCUUCAAAGUCAAACUGGAUUACAGAUCAGUAGAAACCCUUUCCUCUCAAAUCUGAAUGUUGCACUUUAUGUCUGAUCGUGGUUUCUGCAGAGAGGGAGCCGGCAUAUAUGACUUCCAUACAACUUUCAAAUCGAGGAUGAUUUCCCUCUGAUUUAUGUUUCCAGAGGCAAAUGUAAUCAAAAAGUUUGAGCACAAGGACAAACACACACACACACUCACAAACACAAGACAAAUAUCAGCACAUUAAACUCUGCAGGGCGCUUCAUCUGUUAGAGGAGCCAUAUGCUGCGUAUAAAUGUGCGUCUAUUUAUGGCGAACACGUGUAUGCGUUUCUGUGUUUGUAUGAGUUUUUCUGUAGAUGCAUGUGUGUACUUGGCUCAUCUGCUGCCUGCAUGUGAAACCAGUGACAGGGGCCACAACCCCGCAGCCCCGGAUCACUACCAGCAGCUGAGAUGGUGCCAGAGGGGGGCGGGAGACGCCAGCUGGAGGAAAGAGGAUGGGAGAAAUACCCUUCAAAGUUGGAGCGAUGAUACAGCCGCGCAGAGCUGCUCGACACUUUGUCUCCGCUCGUCUCAUUAUGCUACACUAUCAGCCGUGCAGAUGGGAUGAUACGCAACAAGCAUCAGUCACUCCAAGAGCCAGCGAGUGUGAAUUUCCACACUCCUGCCUAUCAGAUGGUCGGUCUCUAAGUGUUCUUUGAAAGUCUUUGAUAUCUGGAGUCACUUUUCACCGAGCGAUCAAAGGAGCUGCCUUUGACAAAGUACAGAUCGGCUCUGUUUCUGGCGCACUUUUAUCACAUGGCUGCAGGUUGUGCUGCUCUCAAGCUGCCGGGGCAAAAAAUGCAACAAGAUGAAGCGCCAUCUUUCUGUCAAGAAGUUCAGUUCCAGGUAAAACACGACAAAUGGUGCUGUGUACAAAUGUGUUUUUAAGAUAAUUUAAGAUUAUCUUCAGCUCCACAAAUAUCAAACACUCCUGGAUAACAUUACCCCCCCAAAAAAACUAUCGUGUUAAAGAUGCAAGGCAAAGCGAAGGUUGAUAAAAAGGGUUGUAAGAAGGAUCGUAACGACAUUUCCCUACCGCAGACAAAAUCCAGCUUUUGGUCCGCCCAUGUUAACAAUAAACUCCACUUCCUUUCAUCACGAGAGAAACGUUAUUGUUCCUCCUUGUUGAAUCAAGGUUAUGUCUUUGUGGGAGAAGCAGAUGUAGGAAUUUCUAUCAAAAUUGCUCAAUUGUAAGUAGUUUCUACAGCAGGAAUGUUUCAACUCUUCAAAUACUGAACUGCUGCCUCACAAAAAAAAUAAACCAGAGUUGUUGAAGUUCACUCGAAAAAUGAACGAACUCAAAGUUCAGUUCAAACAGAUAAAAGUGAACUAUUCACAUUCAUUCAUUUUUCUCAAAAUAUUUAAUAAGUGAAAUGGUUCACAUUCACAGUUUUUGCUGCCUCCCCACAGAGCCUCUUAUUAGAUUAUAUUAGGUACAACUUCAUUUAUCCUUUUGGGAGUUCCCUCAGAGAAAUUAAAAUUCCAGCUGCAUAUUUUACAGGAGAGCAAAAUAAAAGAACGGUCAAAUAUACAUGUACAUAAGAGUAAAGAUAUAAUAGAACUUCAAGAUAAAUCAUGUAUUUAUAUAAAAAGUAAGAUUUAAAGUUAACAAUAUUUACACGUAACCGUUGUCACCAUAGACUGUAUAUAGAACGGACGCCGUCUGCCUCCUCGCUGGGUGAAGCCAACGUGAGAACAGCACCCUCUGGUGACGGGCUGCAGUAUAGGUUUUUUCAAAACGUUACGUAAAUCGGUAUUAUGAAUGAACAAUAACAAUGGCCCGCGGACUGAUCGAUGGGGUACUCCAAAUUCAUGGAGUCAGUCCUGGUGUGAACUUGUUAAAACUUGAACUACUUCAUCUGUGUUUUUAUGAGAAUAAAAAAAAGUUUGUGUCAUCAACAAAUAAGAGAUAGUUUGUACACAAUAUGACAUAUCUAAUUAAGAUAAAUCAAAAUAAUAAUGGCCCGCAGACUGAUCGGUGGGGUACACCAAGAUCCUGCAGUCAGUCCUGGUGUGAACUUGUUAAAACUUAAACUAUUUUCAAAAAGUCUUUAAAUCAUUUAUGUAAAAUAAAGAUAAUAACAACGGCCCGAGGACGGAUCUCUGAGGUACACCAAGGUCAUCUGUUCAGUCCAGGUUCACACAGACAAUAUUUCGGGCUGAAAGUGCCAUGCUGUUUGUAAUAAAUCAUAUUUGUGAUGACUCAGACCCAAGCAAUGGGGACCCAAGCCGACCUGACUCAAAUUACUCCUCUGGUGACUCAGACUUCACUCCAGACUUGAUUUGGUGACUCAACGCCGUGAAAGGAGUAGACCAACAGAAGGCAGGAAGAUGCUCGUUGAACUCGGAGCUGAAUUGAGAGCGACAGGCUGUGAGUCUGAAUAACAGACGGACAAAGUGUCUCAGUUGGUCACCGCUCCUAUAGGCCUGAACAUCUGCCGACUCUGCAGCUCAAAACUAAUCGAUUAGGCGGCAGGGACACCGAGAGCCCCGGCUGCCAAAGGUCGGUGUCCGUGUUCACUCUCUACCUCUGCCUCGCAAAUUUGAUUUGCAUUUUUGGGAGACAAGAGUUUCCUGUGUGUAAAUGUGUGUGUGUGAGUGUGUAAUGUCUUGGAUCAGACUGCGAGCUCUGUUGCCUGAGUAACCGCCCUGUCGCCCGGCAGCGUCUCAGUCUAAUGUUAUAGGAUGACACUCUAUGCCUCUUCUCUUUGCAUUCACUCUUCAGCCAAGUGUAAAAGCACUUUAAUGUCAUUCCAUUAAAGUGAACUAAACCAACAGACUGUCACACAGACUCACAUUAUCUGUAUGAUAAUUUAAAAGCGCCGGAGCAAUGCAAUGUGGCAAUUUGAAACCGCGGAGGCUCCUCCAGAAUACAGAACGGAGGAUUAAUUUUCUGAAGACAAUGACUUCUUUUUUUUUUUAAGCUAAGACAUUUCCUCUGCUCCCUCCUCCUCCUCCGAGACGAAGAGAUGAUGUGAUGCAAAAAAAGCUCCACACUCAUCAAAAAAUCUUAUCGAUACAAGGAAAUGAGAUUACGCCCGUGAUAAGAGGAUUUAUGCAAUUAUACAGAAGGCUAUGCCGUCUUUUUUAGGGUUGUUGACCAAAUCCUUUAUGUGUGACUUACUGGUUGCUUAGUGAGCAUAAUCCGUGAUUACUGCGCACCUGGGAGGUGGAGUUUUGUGUAUUUUUCUCAGAUUGAAAAUGGAAAAUCGAGGCAAUAUAAGACAAACUGCUGAAAAGCAUUUCCUGAGCAAACAGAAUGUUUACAGCUGUGAGAGGAGAAUGAGAAUGAGGACGGAGAAUCGACGGUGAGGUCUGGAGAUGCUCAGAGGUGUCGCUCCAAAGAUUGAAGCGGGUUUUAACGACGCGGUUAAAGAAACACAGUUACGUAAAGUUUUAUGUUAAAUGUCUGGACCCUUACUGGAGGUCAGGGUCGAGGAAGGAGUCGGAGAACUUCAAAACCUGGAGAAGGUUCCGACCUGAACUCUCCUGAGUUACUGGGUUACCUUUAACUGCAUCGACUGAGAAGAAGAAGAAGAGAUCACAGUGACUUAUAUCUCCCCUAAUUUUAGGUUUCUUCUGUUCUGGACACAAUUUCAAAAUAAAAGCAUGAUGUGAAAACAAAGGGAGGCUCUCUACUAAAACAACCAAACAAAACUGAAUUGGGCUUUUAUUUUGAAAGACAUGUUGUGUUUUAUUUUUCAUGCUUGUGACACUCAGUUUAUCAUUUUUUUUGGCCUGAGAUCUUGCAGAAAAAUCGAAGGUGUAAUUUGGUAACCGCACGUCAAACAUCGAGCUGUUCUGACCCAAAAUUUCCACCACAUCCAGAACAGCUCCGAUCCAGUACGACAGCAAUUUUCAUUCUGAUCCGCAGAGGAAAGAAACCGGUGGAAAUUGACACGUUAACUUGAAUGAAAACGAUCAGCUACAAUCGGAGGAUACAGCCUUUUCGUAGCUGUUCUGGAUGUGGUGGAAAUUGGGGUUGAGGAUGACAUGCAGCUCACUCCAGAGUAGAGUAGAGUCUGCUGUGGAAACCCAAAAAGAUCAGGAUGUUCUGAACAGAACCGGGCCGCCAGUUUCUCUGUACAACAAAGAGAGGCAGCAGUCAGAGCCACAGAUAAGAGGGAAGAGAAAGAGAGUCCAUGACGAAAGGAGUCCUUUUUCUGACGCCAGAGUCUGAACCUUAAUUGAAGGUGAAAAGUUGAUUGUUUUGACAGCGUGGUGGGAGAAAGAGGAGGGAGGCAGAAAUGAGGCGAAUGAAAGGAACAGACGAGGUGUGGUUGGAUUUUUUCUCUCUGACUGUGAGUCAUGUCUACGUUUUAUUCAUGAUGCGGACAUUCAAAGCCACGAGCCACGACUCCUCUAUUCGGCAAAAUGAACUCUGACUAAUGGAAGUCAUCAGUAACAACCUGAACAUGAAGCUUUAAAUCAUUAAUAAGUUUAAAUCUGGAGCACUGACAAAGUCAUUUUCUGGGGCUUUACAUGCAGUUUUUUAAACACCCAGGUCAAAGCCGGACCUGUGCAGAACUGCUGGGCCAGUUUGGGGCUGAUGAGGCAAACAUAGUCCACCUUUAAAAGAUGAGUUUUAUUGAUAUUACCCAUGAGCCUUUAGUAGGGCUGAACGAUUUUGACCAAAAAUGAAAUCCAGAUUUUUUUCUCUGAAAACUUGUUUUUCGAUUUGGAUUUUUUAUUCAGUGACAACUUCACCAAACUUCACUUUAAAAAUAAAAAGUUACAGUAAGACAGUAAGUGGCGCUGUAACUCUGCACAGGAAAUGCACAAAAGACAGAAGAAGAGUACAGAGCAUGUGUUUAAAGGUUGUUUUGGCGCCAUAAAAGAGUUACUCUGUGUGUCACAUGAUCGUUUCCAGAGAUGCAGAUAGACAUCCACACGGAGAUGAAAUGGUCGUCGUUUACAGAUUUAUUUACUCUCUGACCCGUUUUCAAAAAGUACCGUUUACAGUCACCUGAAACGCCGAUACGACAAAAAACUUUAGCGUUUCCUCCUGAAUUCGUUUCCGUGGUGACGGGUUGAUACCGCCUUCAGACAGACUUUACAGCGGGGAGUGGUUUACUCUUCAUCUGAAACUGUGAAGUUGUACCAAUUCAACAUGACUGACUCGCUCUUGUCCUAUUUAACCACGAAAUUAUCGCCUCCUUUAGCAAACGCCAUGUUUGUUUACACUGGUGUGUGGGGGAACUGGGGUGUGCUCCUACAGGAAGGGGGAGGAGCCUAUGGUGGCCUGGGGGCGCGAAAAAUGAUAGAGAGGAAAAUCGAUUUGAGGAUUUUAAUUUUUUGAACAUCGUGAUAAUUAAAUAAUCGAUUACGAUUAAGAAAUUGAUUAAUGGUGCAGCCCUAACCUGUAGUGAUUAUUUUUAGACCCCAAAAGUUUAAGAGACUUCAAAACAACCUAAAAGCCCCUCCUCUUAGAUAGAAUACUUUGAGGAAGUAAUAGAUUAUAUUUGUGUCUUUUAAACUUCAUUUAAUUAUUCAGUAUAUUUAAGAAACCUGUUAAAUCCAUCACCAGUAUUAACUACCCGAGCGUCUGUAACCUCUGAGGUUUCAGCUCCACAACUCCGUCAACAGCCUCCCAAACCCGACGAACACGCCAGCUCUCACCACUAAUGUGGAACAGGAUUCCUCGCCUCCCCAGACACUGUGCUUCAGAGUGAUGCAGUAUGGGUAAUUGCAUGAAUUAUAUCAAGAUGAUGUGGAGUAUAAAAAAUAAAUCACUCUCACGUUCUGUGGGCCCGGUUGUGGUUGACUGGAUUUGCAUUUAAAACUCUGGGAAUCACUUCAAGCUGGAGGAGAAGCUCAGUAAUGACAUGUUUGAGCAGACUCUCAUGCGAAGGACUAAUAUCAUCGCCGGGUUAAUUCUAAUAAACACAAAAGGAAAGUUAUGAUCAGUAUCAUAAAGAAAC